rnacentral:rRNA from 1 species
UGGGGAAUAUUGCGCAAUGGGCGAAAGCCUGACGCAGCGACGCCUGCGUGAGGGAUGAAGGUCUUCGGAUCGUAAACCUCUGUCAAGAGGGAAGAAACCAUUGAAGUCGAACAGGCUUCUUUGCUGACGGUACCUCUAAAGGAAGCACCGGCUAACUCCGUGCCAGCAGCCGCGGUAAUACGGAGGGUGCAAGCGUUAAUCGGAAUCACUGGGCGUAAAGCGCUCGUAGGCGGCUUGGUCAGUCAGAUGUGAAAGCCCUCGGCUUAACCGGGGAACUGCAUUUGAUACUGCCAGGCUUGAGUGUCGGAGAGGGUGGCGGAAUUCCAGGUGUAGGGGUGAAAUCCGUAGAUAUCUGGAGGAACACCAGUGGCGGAAGGCGGCCACCUGGACGACAACUGACGCUGAGGAGCGAAAGCGUGGGUAGCAAACAGGAUUAGAUACCCUGGUAGUCCACGCGGUAAACGAUGGAUGCU